UUCAACAGGGGUGAAAUCUGUAUACAUCAUGAAUUUUUUGAUUAAAGUACCUUUCAGGUGGUCAAAUGACUAGGAUUAGAUACCCUAUUAGUCCACUCUUAAUUAACCUGGGUAGUAGUAUUGAAACCUAAAGAAUUUGGCGGUUUCUAAACCUACUAGAGGAACCUGCCCCAUAAACGACAAUCCACGAAAAAAUUCACCCGGGCUAGUUAUGCAGCUUAUAUACCGUCGUUCAGAGGACUAAAUAAAUAGAUCCUCUUAAAAGCUUAGGCUAAUAAAUCAGAUCAAGGUGUAGCUUAUGCCCGGGAGAGGGUGGGUUACAAUGAAAAUUCAUACGGAACUUCUAUUUUAUGAUAGAAAAGAAGGUGGAUUUAGAAGUAAGACUUAAUAUACUGAAAAAGGCUCUCAGAAAUGUACAC
rnacentral:rRNA from 1 species